rnacentral:lncRNA from 7 species
AAGCCUAAAUACUAACGCUGCUUAAGCACCUCUCCAAAGGUGACUCUCUACCACCUAACCAUGGAAUGGCUCAGCUCAUGUAGAGGAGCUCUGAGAGGGCACGCUGUAUCUUGCAACCUCAGUGAUGUGCAUCUAUUGGUGCUUUUGAUAAGGGUCAGCAGAGAUAAAACAAGAUGAAUUAGCUCUUCAAGAGGACACGAAUUGCACAUUUACAUCAGACAGCUUUUAGUAUGGGCCCUUGACUGUCAUGAUCCUGAUGCACAAAGUGCAAGAGGGCUGUCCUCAUGGUGUCCAAAAGAGAUGUGAAUGCCCUCAGGAAAUCACAGCUUCCCAUUGUAGAGUGCCUGUAUCAUUUUCUAGUAUCAUUUUCUGGCAUUUACAGUGAUGAUUAUAUAUUUAUUGAUUUAUCAUGGGUCUUGGUUUUGUUCAUUUAAAGUUCUGACUUUCCCAUUUUGUCAGGGGGACUCUACCAUUUAGCAUGUUACCAGAUACUCAAUCAAUACAUUAAAAAUCAGCCUACUUCUACCUCUGAGUUACAAGAUAUGCAACAUAGAAAAUGUUACUUACAGUAGUUUCAAUUGCAGUGUUUCCUCAUUAGACUCUUAACAAUAAAUUUCUCAUGUAAUUAACUCAGUUUUAACAUGGGGAAAGAAUGCAUAAAUUGCAUUUUUUUCUUCUCCUAAAAGAGCUUGGAAUAUAGGAAGUGCAAUCAAACCUAGACAGCUUUUAACUAUGAGCACACUGCAAAGUUUGAGGAAAACCAUACAUAAACAUUAUCAGUGGUCCCCUAUUUUCAUUACCAUCAGUUUGCAACCAGGUGGAAGAACAGAGGUCUGUUGGAAAUGUAAUUGCAGGCCCUUUGUAUAUGUGGAAAGAAAUCAGAGCUCAUUUCUUAAAGUGAGAAACCCAGAAAUUUCCCAUCAGUGCUUCUGUAAAUGCGUUUUAAAAUUGAAUACAAAGAGUUUUAGCUAUAGAGGGUAUGUCAUUUCUUGUGAUUGUCACACACAAAUUAUAGGAUCCACAGAAGUGGCAGCACCACAUGGAUUCAGUGAAGAUCCUUUGGGAUGAGCCAGUCAGUCACAGGAGGAAAAAGAAGUAUUUCCAAAGCUGAAUUCUUUGCUCUAUUUUAGAUACUUACUUCAGAGUGAGAUGAAAUGAACUCCAGGUGUGGCUCUGAAGCAAGGCAGCAAGAUCAGAUUUUGACAGCAGAAAGUCAGGAGAGAUGAAUCCCACCAUAGGAAAUUUCAGCACUGCUGUAGAAAUUGUCUUCUGUGGCUUUUACAAACUGAACUUUGGCGCCUGAGCCAGCACUUGUCAUCGUGCCUGUCAGCACAGCUCUGUCCUGAGGUGGUGGCUGUGAAGAGACAUGGGAGGAACUGGGCCCCUGUUACAGACAGGCCGUUUGGUGAGGUGAGCCACAGCCACCAGACCCUGGCCAGCCCACUGCACGUGCUGGCAAAGCGCACCAGCAGUACACACCAGCCCUGGUGUGGGCUGUCCAGUCCUGGGAACCUGUUUGGCAAGGCCCACAGGGACACAGGAACUGAACAACAGCUGCUCACUGCCUGACCCAGUGACAGCCAGCUGCGACAGGCUGAAUAACAGCAGCCAUCU